GUCUACAGCCAUACCACCCUGAACACGCCCGAUCUCGUCUGAUCUCGGAAGCUAAGCAGGGUCGGGCCUGGUUAGUACUUGGAUGGGAGAACAUAACGUGCGAGGAUU
rnacentral:rRNA from 1 species